UUGAAAAAUGUUGAAGCACAGCCAAUCAAAUCGAAGCGCUUCAACAUUUAGAGCCAAUCGAGUCGAAGCGCUUCAACAUUUGCAGCCAAUCACAGAGCGGAAGUUUCAACAUUUUCAACAUUUGACCAAUCAGAGUGAAAGAGAAAGUCUUCGGGUACAAUUCCCCUCCUCACCUGUAGGUGGAGUAAGAGUGAUGCUCGAUGACGUGUUACUGCUCUUCUAUUUUUUUUUUUUGAGUUGCCGCUCUUCGCCAGUAGGGGGAGUAGGCUAAAAAUGUCAAUAAAGUUGCCGAAAUUGGCCGAAAGUGUACGGUCUUUGACGAGAGGGAUAAGACGACCUAACUGGGAGUGUCAGGGGUCAAAAAAGUUCAGUAGAAGGUUCAUGCCCUACGACGAGCAUCAUUGUCACGGACAUCAACAUCUUUAAACGGAGGACAAAUAUUUGUAUCUUUUAUUACGGACUAUAACCGGUAAGAAUGCAUAACUUAAUAGCAUAAUUAAAUCUGAGAGAUAAUUAGAGUUUAAUUUUUAAUUAGUAUAGUUUUUAACAACUGUUUAGGAGAAGACAAUGUCUGCAAAAAAAUCGCACAAAGGCAUGUCGGACGCUGAAUGGAUUUCACGUCUAAGAAAGUUUGCCAGUACAGGUGUUUGGCCUUCAGAAGAAGGUAAUAGACCAGCUCCUAGACAAAAAAAGUGGCACGAGCUUUAUCAAAGGAUUGAAAAAUGCCCGAUGCACUCUCGUGGCCAGACAACAUUGUUUGGAGGUGUCCUAAAGUGCACAUGUGGUUUUCACACUCAAAAGCCACCUAUGUCUACUGGACAGACACCAAGGGUCAUGCAACAACAGUCUGCUG